AUUGAACGCUGGCGGCAGGCCUAACACAUGCAAGUCGAGCGGAUGAAGGGAGCUUGCUCCUGGAUUCAGCGGCGGACGGGUGAGUAAUGCCUAGGAAUCUGCCUGGUAGUGGGGGAUAACGUCCGGAAACGGGCGCUAAUACCGCAUACGUCCUGAGGGAGAAAGUGGGGGAUCUUCGGACCUCACGCUAUCAGAUGAGCCUAGGUCGGAUUAGCUAGUUGGUGGGGUAAAGGCCUACCAAGGCGACGAUCCGUAACUGGUCUGAGAGGAUGAUCAGUCACACUGGAACUGAGACACGGUCCAGACUCCUACGGGAGGCAGCAGUGGGGAAUAUUGGACAAUGGGCGAAGGUCUGAUCCAGCCAUGCCGCGUGUGUGAAGAAGGUCUUCGGAUUGUAAAGCACUUUAAGUUGGGAGGAAGGGCAGUAAGUUAAUACCUUGCUGUUUUGACGUUACCAACAGAAUAAGCACCGGCUAACUUCGUG
rnacentral:rRNA from 1 species